rnacentral:rRNA from 1 species
UGGCUCAGGAUGAACGCUGGCGGCGUGCUUAACACAUGCAAGUCGAACGGAGUCAUCAUUUUUGAAGCAAUUAGCUUGCUAAGAGUGGAAAUGUUGAUGACUUAGUGGCGGACGGGUGAGUAACGCGUGGGUAACCUGCCAUAUACAGGGGGAUAACACUUAGAAAUAGGUGCUAAUACCGCAUAAGCGCACAGUAUUGCAUGAGACAGUGUGAAAAACUACGGUGGUAUAUGAUGGACCCGCGUCUGAUUAGCUGGUUGGUGAGGUAACGGCCCACCAAGGCGACGAUCAGUAGCCGGCCUGAGAGGGUGGACGGCCACAUUGGGACUGAGACACGGCCCAAACUCCUACGGGAGGCAGCAGUGGGGAAUAUUGGACAAUGGGGGGAAACCCUGAUCCAGCGACGCCGCGUGAGUGAAGAAGUAUUUCGGUAUGUAAAGCUCUAUCAGCAGGGAAGAAAAAAUGACGGUACCUGACUAAGAAGCCCCGGCUAACUACGUG